GACGAACGCUGGCGGCGUGCCUAAUACAUGCAAGUAGAACGCUGAAGGGGGAGCUUGCCCUUCUGGAUGAGUUGCGAACGGGUGAGUAACGCGUAGGUAACCUGCCUGGUAGCGGGGGAUAACUAUUGAAAACGAUAGCUAAUACCGCAUAACAGUAGAUGUUGCAUGACAUUUGCUUAAAAGGUGCCAUUGCAUCACUACCAGAUGGACCUGCGUUGUAUUAGCUAGGUGGUCGGGUAACGGCUCACCAAAGGGACGAUACAUAGCCGACCUGGGAGGGGGGUCCGCCACACUGGGAAUGGGGAAAGGCCCAAGAUCCCUCGGGGGGGAGCAGGAGGGGAUCUUCGGAAAUGGAGGGAAGGCUGACCGAGGAACGCCGCGGGGGGGGAGAAAGGUUUCGGGUCGGAAAGGUCUGUUGUGAGAGGAGAACGGGUGGGAGGGUGGAAAGUUCACGCUGUGACGUUAUCUUACCAGAAAGGAACGGCUAACUACGUG
rnacentral:rRNA from 1 species